rnacentral:rRNA from 1 species
GAGUCAUUGGGACUCUGUUAAACCUAAAGGCGCAAUGAAAGUAAAGGUCCGCCUCGCGCGGACCGAGGGAGGAUGGGCCCGUCCACGGGCGGGCCUCGCACUCCCGGGGCGUCUCGUUCUCAUCGCGAGAAGAGGCGCACCCAGAGCGUACACGCUGGGACCCGAAAGAUGGUGAACUAUGCCUGGUCAGGACGAAGUCAGGGGAAACCCUGAUGGAGGUCCGUAGCGAUUCUGACGUGCAAAUCGAUCGUCGGAACUGGGUAUAGG